CAUCUCUCCACUUUUCCCUUUUUCUUCCUCUCUUUAAAAAAAAAAGAAAAGCAAAUCUCUUCCUUAUAGUAAACAUUUUUUUUUUCAGUUCCUUCUAGUGUUAUAAUGGCAGCACAAGAUCGACAAGAAGAUCAACCUGAACUCCAGAACUACAAGACUUGGGUUUUGAAAGUUUCCAUUCACUGUGAAGGCUGUAAAAGGAAAGUUAAGAAAAUUCUCCAACAAGUACCUGGAGUGUAUACUAUAGAUAUCGAUCUCAAGCAACAGAAAGCAAUAGUAACUGGGAAUGUAGAAGCAGAAGCUCUUCUCAGGAAACUACACAAAUCCGGUAAACACGCUGAAUUAGUACCACAACAGACUGAUCACAAGGAGAAAAAGUCUGCUAAGAUCAAGAGCAAAGAGAAACAAAUUAACCCACAAAACAAAGAAGCAGAAUCAACUACCCAACUUGAUAUCAAUACCCACAAAAAUGUCAAAUCAAAUGAAAAAAUUGCAGCACCCAAAGAACCUUCAGUAAAAAUUCAAGAGGCAAGUGAUGAAGCAGUACCCAAACGGAGUGAAAAACCUAGCACCGGUUCAGCGAAACCGACAGAAGAAACCGGCACCGCCUCUGGUGACAAACCGGUGGAGGCUGAAAAAGAGAAUGAAACAGUUGAGGAGAUAAAAUCUGAAGGAAAAAAAACGGUAACCGACUCUACCGGUAAACAACAAAUUCCGGUGGCGGCGGAGGAAAAGGUUACUGAUAGUGAUGAUGCUUCAGCUAGUGGCGAAAAAAGCGGUGGUGGCCCAGUUGGUGAAGCAAGUGGCAAUACUGGUAAAAAGAAGAAAAAGAAAGGGCAAAACAGUAACAACGUUGAGGGCACACCAUCAAUUGUUGCUCCGGCAGGUCCAGUAUUCGAAAAUCAUAACAUAGGACCACAAGUCUUUGCGCCGACCAAUGAUAGCCCUCCACGUCAUCCAUCUUAUCAUUAUUACCCGCAACAGGGCCCACAGUUCUACGCCCCACCACCAGCACCAGCAUACGUCGUUAGCUACAAUACGGCUCAACCUACGGCUAACUAUACGGCAUCGUAUUAUGCUCCGGCACCUCCCACUUCGUAUGCCUAUACGUAUUCCGGUCCUAGUCAUGUAACGGAACCUCCACCGUCCGAUGUGGAUACGUAUCCACGCCAACCGUUGGAUUCGUUUGAAAUGUUUAGUGAUGAAAAUCCUA
rnacentral:misc_RNA from 1 species